UAUGGGAGGCAGCAGUGGGGAAUAUUGCACAAUGGGCGCAAGCCUGAUGCAGCCAUGCCGCGUGUAUGAAGAAGGCCUUCGGGUUGUAAAGUACUUUCAGCGGGGAGGAAGGGAGUAAAGUUAAUACCUUUGCUCAUUGACGUUACCCGCAGAAGAAGCACCGGCUAACUCCGUGCCAGCAGCCGCGGUAAUACGGAGGGUGCAAGCGUUAAUCGGAAUUACUGGGCGUAAAGCGCACGCAGGCGGUUUUGUUAAGUCAGAUGUGAAAUCCCCGGGCUCAACCUGGGAACUGCAUCUGGUACUGGCAAGCUUGAGUCUCGUAGAGGGGGUAGAAUUCCAGGUGUAGCGGUGAAAUGCGUAGAGAUCUGGAGGAAUACCGGUGGCGAAGGCGGCCCCUGGACGAGACUGACGCUCAGGGUGCGAAAGCGUGGGGAGCGAAACAGGAUUAGGAUAACC
rnacentral:rRNA from 1 species